AGUUUGCAAAUAGGGGUGUGCAAAUUUCACCCCCCUCUGAAAAUGAUUGAUGUUCGUUUUUUGUUGUUCGCAGUCUCUAUCAAAGUUCAAACACUGAGGGGCCGACGAAUCAAUUUGUCUUCAUUUUGGAAAAGAAUUUUGCAGGAUAUUCAACACAAGUUUAGCUGGGUCUGGUACCGACCAAAGAUUAGCAGCCAAGUCAUUCUGUACAGAAUGAUUACCACUAUAAAGUCUCAUCUAGCAACCCUGGCACAUUCCUUUCAUCCCUGGUGCCAUUUAGUUGAAUAUUUGCUGCAUUCCUGGUGAAUGAAGGUUGUCGAGGUGAUGAAGAUGAUAGAGAUUGAACUUGAAAAUACAUAAAUUUUGCCCUAGUUAUUUCAGGUUAUUGACAAUAAGUUUUGCAUCGUCAAAUUACAGGAGAGGUUAAACCAAGUGAUGGAGAAAAAGAAACGAUCUAGAUCACGCAUGGAGAUAAUGAACUCGCUUAGGUGAAUGCUCAUGAUGCCAAAUCAAAACUGGAUGACAGAAAAUCCUGAUCUCAUAAAUCUUUUAUGCUAAAAUUCUUUCCCAUGUAAGACAGAACAUAUUAACUAUAACAACCCACAGAAUAGUAAAGAGGAAGCAGCAUAAGCACAUCAUGUGGUGCCCCUUUUACUGUCACCAAAGGUUUCAACCUUCACCAUGUCGCUGAUGCUCUCUAUCGGCGGCAUCUUCAUCUCUACAGUUGGUCUAAAGAGAACAUUUGUGGGGGUGAGCUUCUUUGGUUUAUCUUCAGACAAAUCUGAUGCAGAAGUUACCAUUUGUUGGACAAAAAAAGAGGAUUCUCUACUAUUGGCAGCUGCAACGUUUCAAGUGGCUACAGUUGAUUAUCUAUUGAUCUAGCCAUUACCCAAGAAACAUUGCUAUGGAUGUCAAACCUUCUGCAUGCUAUGAUCUGAAUAAAGACAUCGAAGGACAGUCUGUCAGACCUUCUGCACGCUAUGAUCUCAGUAAAGGCAUUGAAGGACACUUGGGGAAAGACUUUAUCAAGAGAAUGAGAAUAAAAAUAAAAAUAAGGAGCUGGAAAAUCUCAUUAGCCACCAGAAGGUUGUAUCUUUCUGGCUGUUGAGGAUGUCAAAUCCCACAGGGAAGGAACUCGAUCUGAUGAGGUAUUUCAAGAAGUUGCAGGAAGACCCUGCUGUUAGUGUAAGCGGCCCAAUGACACACUGUGGGAUGAAGGUACAUCAAGUUUACACUAAACUUUUAGAUGCUGAAUCAUGUACCAGCCUACCCAAAUUCCAACUGAAACUCCUUCAAUCUCUUGCUGUACUACCUGACAAUCUUGGCGCUUCAGGUAAAAAUCAAGCAUGAACUAUUUAUGACAUUUAUGUUUGAUAAUACCUCUGUAUCAUCACAGCCAAAACAACUACGUACUAUGGAGAAACUGGAAGUUAAUAUGAAAACCAGAAACGAAUUUACAUCUAGCAACCAAGAUGUGCAACAUGAAGCCACUAAGAUCUUACAAAAAGUAAGUAUCAAUGUGCUUUUUCAUCAGCUCAAUGCUCUGGUGUAGCUGUCUGUACGUACACUACUUUUUGAGCUCAAGCACACCAAUUACCAACUACCCUUUGAUGAGAUCAAGUACAGCUUAUCCAAUUUCUCCACCACAAUCAGCAAGUUCAAAUCAAAUAUAUCUAAAAAUUUCAACGAAGACAAUUGAUGUUAUGUUCCAUGGGUAUGGAAUCGGCCGGAGUAGAGAGAGCCCAGGUCUCAUGGUGUUGGAGUUCAGUUGCAUCAGCUGAUGAGAAAUGAGUUGCGCACGUGUGCAAAGUCAUAUUAACUAAUCUUCCUAGAUUUAGACAAAUAAAAUUUUGAUUAAAGAAAAAAAAUGAGAAUAUUACAUCAAUUCAAAACGUCUAUUGCCCUCCAAUAGACGUCUAUUGCCCCUCAAUACACCUUCAACACACUUCUUUUGGCCCAAUAAAACUUUUUUUUUUCCUUCCCCAAUGCUUUUUUCAUUUUCUUUCAAACUCCUUGAAUUUCUCAUAAAUUUCAACCCCUCCCAGCUCUGAAAAUUUGGUUCGUUACCAUUUCUCGUUGUUUCCUCCAAUAGAAGGGUGCAAUCUGGUGCCUCUUCGCUGCUCCGAAGCUCGUGUUGUUUGGGCCCAGACACGUGAUUUGCAUGUGUAAAUUGAGUUUUAUCCAAAAACCCAGAGUAAAUUCAUUUAUUUGGAUCUCGUCACCAUCACAACUAAAUUGAUUCUUUUCUAUUCGACUGAAAUCUUGAAUUUCCACACCAAGUGAAUUCCAAUUUGCAGGGAAUCUGGAACAAGCAGAAUUGGAAAACUGGAGAAGAAAUUGGCUACACUUUGUAUCCUAAUACUAUGAAUUUCAGUAAAAAGAUUUUGGAUGGAGACAAAAUUCCCGAAGAGAACCGAACGUGUUGGAUUCUUCAUCAACUGCAUGCAAUACCGAAAUUCAGCUAAAUCAUAUGAAUCCUAUUCAAAUUCUGCAACACCCAAAUUCAUAUUAUUUACCUUCCACCCAAAAUUGAAGGAAAAAUUGGAGUAGAGAGUAUUUCUGUUCUUUUCCCUAUUCAGGACGGAGAAAAUAUCGGGCUCUUUUAUAUUUGCAGCAAGAAGAGCCACUUGCAGAGGACGAGCAACUUUCGGAGUUUCGGUCGGUUCCUGAGUGUAACAGAUAAACAAGAGAAAAAUGAACUGCCCUUGUGGCUGACAUAGCGGUGAAGCCACAGUCACAUACAAAUAAACUAUUAAUGGUGGACAUUGGGCUCCAGGUUCGAGCCCAAAACAAUUUUUGUUUUUUGUUGCCUAAAACUGUUUCUCCUUUUUUGUUGUUGGACUUUGAGAUUUA